CAGGCAUAAUCCAAUAGGCUGAGAGCCUCAAUAAAACAAAAGAGUAAGUAAACUUACUCUCUCACUCUGAGAGGGAGCUGGCACACCCUCAGAGCUCGGACACACUUCUUCUCUUGCCCUUGGACAUCAGAAUAGCAGGAUCUCCCGAAUACCAGAUUCUCUAAGCUUCGAACUGUGGGAUUUGCACUAGUGGACUCAGGACUUACCCCUGAGAAUCCAGGGUUUCCAGGUUUAUGACCUCCAGCUGAGAGUUGUAUCAUUGGCUUUACUGAUUCUGAAGAUUUUGGUCUUAGGCUGUACUUGCUACAAUCAUCUCUGGCUCUCCAGUUUGCAGAUGGUUUCUCCUGAAGCUUCUCAACCUCCAUAACUGUAGUCAUUAAGUUUUGCUGUCCUGGUACCUAAGGAGGAAUGCUUUCACCAGGGAACCCAUCUAUCGUUCUGUUACAUUAAGAGAAGCCAUGACAAAAGCAGCAGAGUGAAUGCACUGGAGACGAGAAUGGCAAAGAAAAAAAGCUACGUCCUAGAACUGCCCUCGGAAAUGAUUAAGACAAAUUCCUUUUUGGCCUAAUAUACUAAGGAAAGAGGAAGAUUGACACUCGGGUUACUUUUUAAAUGAUAUUUUUAUUACAAUCUUUAAUAUGAAGUUUUAUAAGUCAGGAAUCAUGCAUGUUCAUCAGUAAAAUAAGCAUCACAUUUAUAAUACUUACGUUUAACAUAUUUUGAAUGAAUUAGAUUCUAUAUGGUAAGACAAUUUUAUUUCACCUACGGUCUUUUCAUACACUUCUCCUGAAUAUAAUCCCCUGAAGACAUGUUUUUCUUUCACUUUCUGGUUCCCCAUUUUCUCUCCUUAUUUGCUGUUUUAUCCCCUUUGGUAUGACAGGGCAAGUUUCGGGAGGUCAAUGAAGAUACAGGGAAGGUUUUCAGAUGAUUGGUUUCGUGUAAUUGGGUCAUGUACUAAUCUUUAUUUGGUAGGUUCAAAACUUCUUGCACUUUCCCUUAGGUGAUGCUUAUGUGGAUUUCCUAAAAAAUUCGUUUGCUGUGCAUUUCAGCAGUUCACACUGUUAAUUAAGAAAUUUUCCUUCUGAUUGGCCAUUCUUCCUACAACCCCUGUUUGGUACCUCUGUUUGUAUAUCCUGGCCUUUUCAGGCAUAUCUAUUAGACAGAGAUGGCUCAGUCUAACUCCAUUUUGCCAGGUUCACAGGAGAGUUAUAGGCAUCCUUACCCCAUCAGUUUCUGGGGGUGUCAGCUAUCCCUGCUCUGCUGCCCACAGUCGUGAUUCUAGUCAUCAUUGCUCACCUUUGACUUGUGUAGAUGGAGUCAGUAUACCCUGGUUCCAUGACUUUACAGCAAACUCUUUCAGUGUUUAGUUUGAAGACCCUCAACUGGCUUGAUACAGAUAAAAACACUUCUUCUCAUUCCCCAUGAGUUAGAGUUGAGAAAGAAAAUACAAGGAAAACCAUCAGCUCUCUUUACAAUAGAAACUUUUCUUUGUUUUAUAAAUAAUUCACAUAUACCUGGAUGUACAUAUAUAUAUAUGUGAAUAUACAUACACAAACAUAUGUAUAUUCAUUUAUAUACAUCUUCAAAAGUAGUAGUCUAUUUAAUCUCCUUAGUGAUUACUUUUUAUUUAAAAGGAUGGAGGUAAUGGGCCAGGUGCCUUGGCUCAUGCCUGUAAUCCCAGCACUUUGGGAGGCCAAGGCGGGCGGAUCACCUGAGGUUGGGAGUUCGAGACCAGUCUGACCAACAUGGACAAACCCAGCCUCUAUUAAAAAAAAAAAGCAAAAUUAGCCAGGCGUGGUGGUGCAUGCUUGUAAUCCCAGCUACUCCGAAGGCUGAGGCAGGAGAAUCACUUGAACCCGGGAGGCAGAGGUUGCAGUGAGCCCAGGUCGUGCCAUUGCACUCCAGCUUGGGCAACAAGAGCAAAACUCCAUCCCCCCACACCCACAAAAAAGCAUGGAGGCAAUGAUAUGCUGUUUGUGAGAGUACCCUUUAAUAUCUGUUUAGUGUAUCCUGCAGCAGAGAUCUCUUCUCUGUCUUUAGGAUGCAGGACUACUUGAAACCAAUAAUUUAUUAUUUGCUUUCAGUUUGGGAGCCACAGUCCAAAUGAAGAAAAUCAAGUCUCCUUGUAAGUGCUUGCACAUGUUUAAAAUAUUGUAAACCUAUACACUGUUGGUUGUUUUAAAGAACAAACAUCAUUUUACAUUGCAAAUAUAUUAUUUUAAUUUUGAGUGAUAUUAAUUUGUGUUCUUUAUUUCUUUUUUCCAUUUUACUUUUCACUCUUUCCCCCUCAAUUCUCUUACGAUUAAAAUUCUCUCCUCAAUUCUAUUAGGAUUCAAUAAUUUAAUACUUUCAGUGCCGAUUUUCCCAGGGGAUGUAUAUAACCAAACACAAUUGAACCUUUUUAAAAAUACAUCAUGUUUUUUUUAAAAAAAACCUUUGACAUUCCAUGACAUUAGGCAAUUUGAUAGUCUAGUCAUAGACAAAAUUGUUGAUAGAUAUUCAGGGAUUAUAACAGGGCAUCUGUCAAGUACGAAGACUUCCUCUAAAGACUAGAAAAUAUUUUUCCUGGAUUUAGGCUAAAGAAGGGGCAAAUGAUAAAACAAUGUUCCAGUUUAGGGUCUGUAGCCUGUGUGGUGGAAGACAGAGAAGUCCUGUGCCCUGCUUUUUAUAGGCAUCCAGUAAAGCUUAUUAAAAAAAUAGCAUGUAUGAACUCAGUCACUCUGGGCUAUACAGAGGUUCUUUGAGAGCUAUUAUCCCAGCACAAUGAAAAAUUGCAGAUGGAUUCUCAGCUACAGCCUGACAUUACUACAGAGUGCUGCUGAUCCUGAGUCUUUAGAGACAGUAGGGAAGAACAUGCUCACAUUUACAAUUUGGAAACAAAUAAACAGAUGUAAUGAGGCAUCUCAACAAUUUGGUUGACAUGCAUGUAGACAAAUGAUGCCAGGGCUACAUGUGUUUCCUACUACUAGUAUAAUGGCCUACCAGCAUUUUCACUCAACUGGAAAUCUUCACUUCUGAAAAUGGAGAUAAGUAGCACAUUAACUAAGAUGAACUUUUUCCUAUCUUAAUGAAAAGGUGAUUCAAAAUAAAGAUUAACCUGAGUUCCCCAAAAAAUAUGCACUAAUGCAUAUCAGAGCUAAGACUGAAAACUGGACAGUGUUUCUGUGUGUGUAUAAGAGAACAUACACCAAAUGAAUACAAGUAUUUAGAAAAUAAUAUUUGUAUAUUACAGAUGUCAUUUGGCUGUAUAAUCAAGAAGAUGAGUGGCAAAUAAAUUAUGUUUUGUGUUUUUGAAGCAGGAGACAGACCAAAUGGAGGGCCAGAACUUACAGAUCCAGAAGUUCUCACUUUCAGAUGGUAAGGCUGCAGCUAACAAUCCCAGACAGCACUAUAUUUUAAAGGAUUCAUAAUACACAGUCCUGCAUCUUAUUUUUCUCCUCUUCCUCUUCUGAGAAUAUUAAAUAAGCUGAAAUACUGGGAUACUCAAGUUUUGAAGGCUUCAUGUGUCAUGUAAACAUACUAGUGGCUAUUAUAUCACCCUGCUGUUAGAAACACUAAAUUAGCAUUCCAUGGAGAAAAGAGACAUUGGGCUAACCACUUGCGCAUCCAGCAUCCAAACCCCAGCAAUAUGCCAGCCUCAGCCAUUGUUUGACUGAAUCUACAUAAGCACCUAAGGACGGAACCACAAAAGUGAACAUUUUUUGAAUCCUGGAUCCAGAAAAACAACGAGAGUUAAUAAAAUAAAUGUUUUGUUUCAAGUCACUAAAUUUUUAGGUAAUUUUUAGGUACACCAAUACCUAAGUGGAACAGAAAUGCAAUACUUGGAAGUAGGGAUCUGAUGUAACAGAAACAUACAAAAUGUGGCUUCGUCUUUGAAACCAAAUGGUUGGUGAAUGUUAAAAAAGACUUGAGGAUACUGGUGGUAAACACUUGAAGGUCAGAGAUGAAAGUGUAUGAGACAAGAAAUAAAAUAAG
rnacentral:lncRNA from 10 species